GAAAUGCAUUAUAAAUUGGUGGGACCACAAAUAAAAAAUGUAAAAAUGCAGGAAAACUUAAAAUCAGGAUACUUAAAAGUUUCAUUGUAAUGCAAAAUAACCUGUUUAAGGCAAAAGUUAAUAUUCCAGCAGGACAAGACAAAGUAACACUGGAGUCAAGAAUAAAAAGCAUAAUCCACAGAUCCCCCCCCUCGGGUUAAUAGGUUGCCUCAGGUCUAUUAACAUUCAAAUGCCAGAGGGGCUUUUGCAGAGUGCAAUAGACUCACUAUUUAUUGAGCCUGUGCAGGGCUGUUUGGGCCACUGUGCAUCUGAAAUGCCAGGGCUUAAUUUGAAUAUCAGUCUGAACCUGAGUUGCCUCCUGUUGUGCUGCAGCUUAACAAUAUUAUGUUAUGUAAGCAGGGCUGUUCCUGCCAUGAGGCAGGGUGAGAACCUUGCCUCAGGCGGCAGCAAACGACCAGUUUCAAGGGGCGGUUUUAACCCGUAAAUUCAGCUCUGCUAGUGCAGAGAGCUUUAUUCGCUCAAUGCACUAGCAAUGCUGCCCCCCUUAGACCCGCUCUGAUGCUAAUUUUUAAGCGCGGAUUGGGGGGGUGGCGGUAGCAGCCCCAGGAUCGCCGCUGUAUGUCCACUUUAAGGCUCCUCUGUGGCUUCCAGCCAACCUCGCCACACCAGGUCAUAUUUCUGAGGACACCCUCUUGCAGUAUAGGUCCUGGCCUGUUCAUUUUACAGUCUCUCACUCAUAUCACUGCAAAGGCAGCAGCGAAGUGAUAAAUGAAUACGCUCAAUUUUUCAGCACUACAGAUAAUAAUCACUGAAGAGACCAGGAUAGCUGGCCAGUCGAUAAAUGGAUAACAAUUACCAAACCUUUCCUCCUAGGUGGAUGCAGAAAAAUAACAGUAUCAAGUUAGGUUGAUAAGAAGCAAUUAAUUCACAAACAUGAGGUGAUAAUACAAUUGUUAGGCUACGUGCAUGUGGUGGUUAAACACCAGUUUGUGUGUGUUGUCUGUUUGAAAGUCAUUCUAUGAGUUCUGGGUGCAAGGAGGUAUACAAGUAAACAGGGACACAUGAAAUACAGAUGGGGUGAGGGUAAAACCAGGGAACUGACAAAAAGAAUAUUGCUGCUUGGCAAAAUAUUCUUUAAUUGUUGGUACGGGCUCUGCCUACAUGUAGCAAAGCCCAAAUGGAGAACUCUAAUUAAAGGAGAAAGAAAGGCUUUGUGCUCUGUGGAAGAGGAUCGAUCGAUGGUGCUCACUGGUAUAACCCCUGACUGGUGCAGUUUUCAAUACAAUCAAUACAAAGUCAAAUACAAUCACUUGGGGGUGCCUAACAUUUGGCACCCCCAAGUGCACAAAGCAUUUCCAUUUCCUUCCUUUGUUCGAAGGCAGAUGUGGAGGAUUUUGGUGCAGAAACGUAAGAUUUUGCAAUUCAAACUGAAGUCCGCCAUGCCAGCCUGCACCCAAGUGUAGGUAAUGUUUCCAUGUGCAAGAAGUGCAGCAGAAGAGGAGCAGCUGGGUAGCAGAUUCUCAGCCUGCUUUUCUCCGCAGACUGAGAUCCGUCUGGUGUGGCCUAGCCUUAGCAAUUUUCAGGGCCAAAAUUAGACAGCUUUAUAGGAUCUCCUGACAUUUGCAGCAUCUUUUAUAAGGAAUUAAAAGGAUUCAGGGUAACCAAGACUAGUGGAGACAAACACUGCUGCCCCAAGCUCUAAAACUGUGAAAUUAAUGACUUAAAAAGUGAUCUUAAUCUAUAUUGUUCUUAGUGGCAGAAUAGAAGAGAGUGGUAUUUUUUUGGUGUUUAUCAAAUUCUCCCUUUUUUUUGCUACCCUGUGGAGUGGUUCAGUUGACCUAAGGCAGACUCUGCCUACAUCUUAUAGCUGACACCUGUAACAUGCUGGUCACUGCAGCAUCAGACUUACAGCCAUAAAGCCCCUAUGGACCCCAGCCACAACCACUCUCUGCCCCCCCCUCCGUGUGUACCUUUUUUCUUCUUAGGGCCACGACUGGGGCCAGUGAGGGAGGUUGGGGCAGUAGCAUGGUUUCAGGCAGGGAGCGCGUUUGGGCUGGCAGGGCCCACUAGGUUUUUUCUUGGUGUCUUGCCACACCAGUCUGACCCUGGGUCAGUGUUAAACCUCUUUGACAACACUACCUCAAAGUAUAUAUCCAUAGAAUAUUUAGAGCGCUAUAUGAUGUUGAUUAUUUAGAUUUACUUUUUACACACACUGAGCCAGAUAUCAAAUAUGCAAGUGAAGUACAGACAGUCAUUAUUAUAAGUUGAUUAUAUAAUUUAGAAAGAGCACAGAAUAAAGAACAGCAAAAGGCCAGUAAUGCUUCUAGACAAUUUAUUAGAUGGUCAUUAUAGAAAAUCUAUUCUGGUGCAAACACGUUUUUGCUUACUUUUCAAAUAAACAUAUUUAUAGAAUGCUGAAAAAUAAUUUAGCCACAGGCUAUAAUAGAAUACCCCACCUUACAAUAGGCAAACACUAUUAGGUGAAACACUCCCUGGAAAUAGCAUUUUGUUCUGAACUUGACUUUUCAUAAAUUGAAAAAUGUUAAAGCACACUUUAGAAAGUGACAUUUUUAUUCUAAUUAAUGCACAGAAAAAAAUGAAUAUUAGUAAAUGUGCUCAUCAAUGUUGCAGGUCAAAAUGAUGAAAGAUUAGCAUUUGUGUUUGGUUGGGUAUCUAGGGAGUUUGAGUUAAGGGGGUAUAUUUUAUCAAAGAGGGAAGUUAGAGUUCGCCACAGUCCUCUAGAGUGAAAUUCCACCACUCU